UGGAGGUUAGUAAUUCAAACUGUCGGAUUACGUAAACAGUUUAUAUAACUUUUGGUUUGUUUCAUGGCCAACAUAAUGUAGCGUAUUUAAGUAGUGAUUGUGAAAUGUAAAUUUAAUUACAAAUAAAUCAGAGUUUUCAUAAGUCGUUGCCAACAUAUCAAAUUUUUCGUUGGCUACCCCGGGAUGUUUGGUUCACUAACAAUUAUUCAGAAACCUAACCUGUACUCUGUUAUGAAUUUGCAAAUAUGUGACAGCCAUUCUGCAGGAGAUUAUAUGAGAACAAAAAACGCCUAGAAGAUAUUAGUAAUGAACCCCACACUCAUCGAGGAGAGUUCUUCAAAAAGAAUUCCACACAAUCUUGAAGCCCUUGUCAAAUCUCUAGAUGGAUCACCAGAUGUUUCACCUACAAAUACAAAUGAUUUAAUUGCUGUUUUGCUGUACGUGUUAAUGAUGGAAACAGGGUAUUCACCAAUAAAUGUAGGAGGCACUUCAAUUUCCAGCAGUGAUCAUGGAUUCAGUAUUCAUAAGCUGAAUCGCUUCUGCAAUAUGCCAGCCAUUUGGAAGAACAUUCGACAAAACAAUUAUGAAAUGACUUUUACUCUUGGAAGAUUCACUCAACAUCCAUGCAGACUGCUUAUAAUAUCAAUAGAUGAUGAAAUUAUUGUCAAUUUACUUAUAUCAAAUUUGAACGAAGAAAGAAAUGGAUAUUCCUUAGGGAUUCAACCCUCAAAAUAUGUUGUCAAUCCAACAUCUAAUUGCAUUCCGACAAAGUUCAGAAAUCUGAGAGAUCUUUCCCUGAGAUUUAAAAACAGUUUGUCACAUCCUGCUAGAAGUGUAAUUUUGACCAAGGAAGGUAUACUGAAUGCAAGUCUUUUGGGUGUUCCUGAUGAAGUUAAGAUCAAAAUAUUUAAAUAUUUGAAAGUAUCAGACCUCUUAAAAUUGUCACUGGUUUGUAGCCAUUUAUAUACUGUGACUGAAGAACAAGGGCUGUGGAGGUAUUUCCUGCUAAGAGAUUUCAGGUGUGAAGAUGUGGAAGACCUUGUGAAUCAGCCAGGUAUAAAUGAUAUUAUCAUUUGGAAGGAGGAAUACAAAAAAAGAUACACAAGCGUCCAUAUCAGAAGACAUAAGUGGCAUUUUCGCAGUGAUAUAUAGUUUAUAUCAAUUGUCAACGCACGUAUUCACUUUCUUUCUUCGAACAUUUAUGGUCUGCUGCUACAAAACUUGACUACUGAUGUAUUCAACACUUAUUCACAUGUGUUGUUUACUUUGUAGAAUUCCAUAUCUUUAAAGAAACCAAUUUCCUCCUGUUGUUACUGGUCACAAAUUAAUCAUUUCCAAACGAAUUCACAGACUGAGAUAACUGUUGACGUUUGUUGUUGUUUUUUUUUUGUUUUUUUGAGUAUAAUGCAAAUCAACUAUGAAUGUGCUAACACGAAAAUAAAUUUGAAAGUUAACUGGGGCAAGUACUCAUCUGUAUGCUUACUCGUAAGCAUUUCAGCAGCUGUCUCAGUUAAAAUAAAGUUCAGAUUUCUUACCUUCUAUACACAUACCAAAUAAACAUACCUGCUAGCCAAUGUCUCUGUUUUGUAUUUUGCUAUUUCUGGUUAGUAAAGUAUAAAAGAGAUUAAAUGAAUGGCAAACUG